GUCUAGGGCCAUGCCACCCUCAAGGCCCGCCCCUCCCAUCUCUUCUGAUCUCGGAAGCUAAGCAGGUGGAGCAUGGUUAGUACAUGGAUGGGAGACCACUGAGGAAUACCUGAUACUGUAGGCU
rnacentral:rRNA from 1 species